rnacentral:rRNA from 1 species
UACGUAGGGGGCUAGCGUUGUCCGGAAUCAUUGGGCGUAAAGCGCGUGUAGGCGGCUCGAUAAGUCCGCUCUGAAAGCCCGGGGCUCAACCCCGGGAGGCGGGUGGAUACUGUCGAGCUCGAGUCCGGAAGAGGCAAGUGGAAUUCCCGGUGUAGCGGUGAAAUGCGCAGAUAUCGGGAGGAACACCAAUAGCGAAGGCAGCUCGCUGGGACGGUAUUGACGCUAAGGCGCGAAAGCGUGGGGAGCGAACAGG